CGUUCAACUCGUGGAAACACGUUUUUCCGAGCCGCCUUUGAACGCACCAUGAGCAGGCGGAGCCAGGUGGCAAACACCAGUGUCGUGUUGUAAUUUCAAUCACAGAGACGUUGAUUCAGAUCUGUUUCAAGCAUGUUGAGCAAACCAGCAGCCAAGAGGCAAAAGACUUUACCUUGUUUUUUCCAAACAAACCCUUGAUGCCAGCCCCUCCUGCAUCAGUGACCACUUCUGGACAAUGGACCUCUACUGCACCAGUGAUGCCAGCCUCUAAUGCACCAGUGAACGCUCCUUGACCAGUAACCUCUACUGCAACAGUGACCUCUUCUGGACCGCAACAGCGGCAGCGACCCGCCCACAAAGCUACUUCCGUUUUGGGCACUUCACACAAGGACCUCGGGGACAAAGACAUGGGUUCUUGAAGCAGCCACAGAAGACCAUCUUGCCUUCAAGCGGUUUUCAGAAGCCAUCGAGAUGGAAACAGUGGAGGGUCCUUGGUGCGGGAGGUGAUAUGAUCAGCAGGAGGUGUUAUGACACCGCAGGGCCCUCGGGGGCCCGGCCCCAGGAAUUGGACUGGACUGAUCUGCUGCCCACAGGACGGCUGCUAUCGGCUCAUCUCUGCUGAGAAUGAGAUCCCUCAACCGACCUUCACCAGAUCCCUAUCUCCGUGCUCCAGAGGACUGCACCCAGGCAUCAGACCGUACGGGUCUAUCUACAGUGGACAUCACUCCUCCCCGGGGACCCGUUCUGAUGGGAAGAUCUGGUUCCACACCAGCACUAAACCCCGGCCCCCAGGAAGCUUCUGGGUCCCUCUUGAUUGAAAACCGCCCGGAGAGGUAUCACUUCACACGCCGGAUGCACGAACAGAGUGACGAACAGACGUAGCCAUAACACCUCGCGACGGAAUAUGUUGUUUCAUUUAUGUGUGUUUAUUUUUCGCCGUUUCAUUUUGUACAGUAUCCAGAUAUUGUCUGGAUAGGUUUGAUUUUUAUUGUUAUUUAAUUCCUUUUGCGGCCUUUGUACUUUAUGCUGCUACACUCACAUUUCCCGCCUCGGAAUAAUGAAUAAAUUACAUCUUGUGUGAACUUAAAUAUCAUGGGUCUUAGUUAUUAGUGGAUUUUGAUGCUUCCACUGGCGGAAUUUAGGAAAUUUGUGGGUUUAAGACUUCAGAAAUGCAAUAUCAUACACUUAUCAUGACGCUUUUGACUUCUGUUGUGUCAAACCGAAAACCCUAGUGAAAUCAUUGUAGUCGCAGGCAGCAACAGAAACAUUCUCAUAAAGUGUGAAGACCAAGACUUUUAUUGAUUUUAUUUCUAGAGAUUUAUUCAUUUCAGCUUCAUAAUAAACUUGGUUUAUUUCAGGCCCAUAACAUUUGGAUAUGAUUGGACUCAAAUCCAUGUGAAAAAACGACAACAUUAGCGUAAGUGUCUUGUCUGCGGCUCACCGGGACCAUCUUCUCCAGACAAUCUGCACCGCUGGAACAGAAGAGCCUGGUAUAUAUUUCAUGAGAGUACGACCGCGGCGAUCAGAGAUGUCUUUUCUCCCAUUGAAUAAGUAACGAGGGGAAAGUGGUUGGUUUGCUAUACAGCAACGAGUUUGCAC
ensembl:lncRNA